rnacentral:misc_RNA from 1 species
UGCAAAGGCUUCCGGUCCAUGAUUUUUGGCGGACUACUCCCGGAAGACAGGACGCACACUGAUCCUCUUCAGAAAUACGAGUCCCAUUUCGAAGGGUGCAUACGCAACCUUGACACUUCAACCGGUGUUUUAGACGAGCCUCGUUAUCAUGCCGUGUCACAGUGUCACAACACGUGAUCAGUCACAUGACAGGAAGUUCUUUGUUCUUCUUAAUUUACGACUGGUGCAACCAUUCUCCGUCUUCCACCGAUUCUACGGUGGGCUCUUUUCCACCCUGACCAAGUAACCUCCAGACAAGCCACUAGUUUGUCGUGACUACUUUAAACACUUUGUGGUGUAUUGACAGUAUUGUUGCGUGUUUUAUGCCGUCCUUUGAAGGGUGCCUGCAAGUGAAGGAUGCUGGUGAAUUACAAUGAGUGACCUGAUGUUGUAAAUAUAUAAAUUAUAUAUAUGUAUUGUCAUAAAAGACGUUCACAAUAUGUACAUACAGUCAGUUGAAAGAAUCUCAUUAAUUAAAAAUAAAAGAAAUACUUUUGC